CGCCUUCUGGACAGUACUGACGCUGAGAUGCGAAAGCGUGGGAAGCAAACAGGAUUAGAUACCUGGUAGUCACGCUGUAAACGAUGUCGAUUUGGAGUUUGUUGCCUAGAGUGAUGGGCUCCGAAGCUAACGCGAUAAAUCGACCGCUGGGGAGUACGGCCGCAAGGUUAAAACUCAAAUGAAUUGACGGGGGCCCGCACAAGCGGUGGAGCAUGUGGUUUAAUUCGAUGCAACGCGAAGAACCUUACCUGGUCUUGACAUCCAUAGAAUUCUGCAGAGAUGUGGGAGUGCCUUCGGGAACUAUGAGACAGGUGCUGCAUGGCUGUCGUCAGCUCGUGUUGUGAAAUGUUGGGUUAAGUCCCGCAACGAGCGCAACCCUUAUUCUUUGUUGCCAGCGAUUUGGUCGGGAACUCAAAGGAGACUGCCGUUGAUAAAGCGGAGGAAGGUGGGGACGACGUCAAGUCAUCAUGGCCCUUACGACCAGGGCUACACACGUGCUACAAUGGCGUAUACAAAGGGAAGCGAAGGUGCGAGCUGGAGCGGAUCUCAUAAAGUACGUCUAAGUUCGGAUUGGAGUCUGCAACUCGACUCCAUGAAGUCGGAAUCGCUAGUAAUCGUAGAUCGGAAUGCUACGGUGAAUACGUUCCCGGGCCUUGUACACACCGCCCGUCACACCAUGGGAGUGGGUUGCACCAGAAGUAGAUAGCUUAACCGCGAGGGGGGCGUUUACCACGGUGUGAUUCAUGACUGGGGUGAAGUCGUAACAAGGUAACCA
rnacentral:rRNA from 1 species